rnacentral:rRNA from 1 species
UACGAACUGUGCGAACGUUAUUCGGAAUCACUGGGCUUACAGGGUGCGUAGGCGGCGCGGGUAGUCGUCGGUGAAAGCUCAGGGCUCAACCCUGAGUCGGCCGGUGAUACUCCCGUGCUCGAGCACUGUAGAGGCAGGUGGAAUUCCGGGUGUAGCGGUGGAAUGCGUAGAGAUCCGGAAGAACACCGGUGGCGAAGGCGGCCUGCUGGGCAGUAGCUGACGCUGAGGCGCGACAGCGUGGGGAGCAAACAGG